UGGGGAAUAUUGGGCAAUGGGCGCAAGCCUGACCCAGCAACGCCGCGUGAAGGAAGAAGGCUUUCGGGUUGUAAACUUCUUUUAAGUAGGGAAGAGUAGAAGACGGUACCUCUUGAAUAAGCCACGGCUAACUACGUGCC
rnacentral:rRNA from 1 species